GAAUGAAGAACGCAGCGAAAUGCGAUAAGUAGUGUGAAUUGCAGAAUUCAGUGAAUCAUCGAAUCUUUGAACGCACAUUGCGCCCUUUGGUAUUCCUUAGGGCAUGCCUGUUCGAGCGUCAUUUAAACCUUCAAGCUAAGCUUGGUGUUGGGUGACUGUCCGCUUCACGGCGGACUCGCCUCAAAAUUAUUGGCGGCCGGUACAUUGGCUUCGAGCGCAGCAGAAACGCGAACUCGGGCCCGUCGUAUUGGCUCCCAGAAGCUAUCUUCACAAUUUUGACCUCGGAUCAGGUAGGGAUACCCGCUGAACUUAAGCAUAUCAAUAAGCGGAGGA
rnacentral:misc_RNA from 1 species